rnacentral:rRNA from 1 species
GUCCACUGAACCUUAUCAUUUAGAGGAAGGAGAAGUCGUAACAAGGUUUCCGUAGGUGAACCUGCGGAAGGAUCAUUGCCGUCUCUGGAACCACCACCUGCGAACCGGUACCCGCGGAAGCGCCGCUCGCGGCGCGCGGCCCCGGGGGAGGACCCGGGGACGCGCGUCCCGGCGAGCUACGAACAACCCUCUGGGCGCGGCGAGCGCCAAGGAAUCGAAGCGGAAAGGGCGGCCGCCCCGCCCGGUGCGGGCACGCGCCGGAAGGCGAUGCGGCACCGCGGCCGGGGACCCGCCGCCCGUCUGUGAAGUCUCUUAGACGACUCUCGGCAACGGAUAUCUCGGCUCUCGCAUCGAUGAAGAACGUAGCGAAAUGCGAUACUUGGUGUGAAUUGCAGAAUCCCGUGAACCAUCGAGUCUUUGAACGCAAGUUGCGCCCGAGGCCAUCCGGCCGAGGGCACGCCUGCCUGGGCGUCACGCCACCCCUCGCCCCCCCCGCGGCAUUCCCAUGCCCCGCCGGGGAGCGGAGACUGGCCGUCCGUGCCCGAGCCCUCGGCGCGCGGUCGGCAGAAAAGGAGGGCACCGUGCGGCGCGACACGGCGUGUGGGGGUUGAGAGGCGAUACGUCGCCGAUCGUACGUCGCGCCCGCAUUCCGCCGCUCGGUGCCGCCCGUGGGACCAGACUCCGCCCGCAGCCGCGGGCGCUCGGACCGCGACCCCAGGUCAGGCGUGGCCACCCGCUGAAUUUAAGCAUAUCAAUAAGCGGAGGAGAAGAAACUUACGAGGAUU